GACGUAGGGCGCGAGCGUUGUCCGGAUUUAUUGGGCGUAAAGAGCUCGUAGGCGGCUUGUUGCGUCGACCGUGAAAACCCGCGGCUUAACUGCGGGCUUGCGGUCGAUACGGGCGGGCUGGAGUUCGGUAGGGGAGACUGGAAUUCCUGGUGUAGCGGUGAAAUGCGCAGAUAUCAGGAGGAACACCGGUGGCGAAGGCGGGUCUCUGGGCCGAAACUGACGCUGAGGAGCGAAAGCGUGGGGAGCGAACAGG
rnacentral:rRNA from 1 species